rnacentral:rRNA from 1 species
GUGAGGAAUUUUGCGCAAUGGGGGAAACCCUGACGCAGCGACGCCGCGUGGAGGAUGACGGCCUUCGGGUCUUAAACUCCUGUCAGAGGUGAAGAAUCCCCGCAAGGGGUUGACGGUAACCUCAAAGGAAGCCCCGGCUAACUACGUGCCAGCAGCCGCGGUAAGACGUAGGGGGCAAACGUUACUCGGAAUUACUGGGCGUAAAGGGUGUGUAGGCGGCUGGGUAAGUUAAAGAUGAAAUCCCGAGGCUUAACUUCGGAAUUGUCUUUGAAACUGCCCGGCUUGAGGGUAGUCGAGGAGAAUGGAAUUCCCGGUGGAGCGGUGAAAUGCGUAGAUAUCGGGAGGAACACCCGAGGCGUAAGCGAUUCUCUAUCCUAUUCCUGACGCUGAAACACGAAAGCUAGGGGAGCGAACGGGAUUAGAAACCCCGGUAGUCC